rnacentral:misc_RNA from 1 species
GAUGAAGAACGCAGCGAACUGCGAUAAGUAAUGUGAAUUGCAGAAUUCAGUGAAUCAUCGAGUCUUUGAACGCACAUUGCGCCCCCUGGCAUUCCGGGGGGCAUGCCUGUCCGAGCGUCAUUGCUGCCCUUCAAGCCCGGCUUGUGUGAUGGGUCGUCGUCCCCCCCGGGGGACGGGCCCGAAAGGCAGCGGCGGCACCGCGUCCGGUCCUCGAGCGUAUGGGGCUUUGUCACCCGCUCGAUUAGGGCCGGCCGGGCGCCAGCCGGCGUCUCCAACCUUCUAUUUUACCAGGUUGACCUCGGAUCAGGUAGGGAUACCCGCUGAACUUAAGCAUAUCAAUAAGCGGAGGA